UGGGGAAUACUGCACAAUGGGCGCAAGCCUGAUGCAGCCAUGCCGCGUGUGUGAAGAAGGCCUUCGGGUUGUAAAGCACUUUCAGCGAGGAGGAAGGUGGUGAGCUUAAUACGCUCAUCAAUUGACGUUACUCGCAGAAGAAGCACCGGCUAACUCCGUGCCAGCAGCCGCGGUAAUACGGAGGGUGCAAGCGUUAAUCGGAAUUACUGGGCGUAAAGCGCACGCAGGCGGUUUGUUAAGUCAGAUGUGAAAUCCCCGGGCUCAACCUGGGAACUGCAUUUGAAACUGGCAAGCUAGAGUCUCGUAGAGGGGGGUAGAAUUUCCAGGUGUAGCGGUGAAAUGCGUAGAGAUCUGGAGGAAUACCGGUGGCGAAGGCGGCCCCCUGGACGAAGACUGACGCUCAGGUGCGAAAGCGUGGGGCAGCAAACAGGAUUAGAUACCCUGGUAGUCCAGCGCUGUAAAACGAUGUCGAUUUGGAGGUUGUGCCCCUUGAGGCGUGGCUUCCGGAGCUAACGCGUUAAAUCGACCGCC
rnacentral:rRNA from 1 species